UCUUUUUAAGGUGGAUUUUUCUCUCUCUUGUGAACAUGAAGUAUAAUGUUUGAGUGCCAUCACCAUCUCUUUUUGUUAUUGCAGUUCAUUUAAGAAUCCAGAAAAAAAAAAAGAAAGCAAGCAAGCCAGGCUAAUUGGUGCUGGCUGAAGUUCGUAAUUCCGGCUCGAAGAACUGCGACAAAUGCCGAAAAUUGCCGAAGCUGCUGAAGAAACCAACGGCCUUCAUGUGAAGGAAGCAAGUUUGCUGAGCAUUUUUUCCCAGUCCGGUUCUCCAGAAACUGUCAGAACCUGCUGGAUCUCACCCCCGCUACCAGGAUAUGAGGAAGAGCCUUAAAACUUCAACGUGACAUUUUCUUUCAUUUCCUGCUGAAAAUCUGAGGGAAAUCAAACAGCGAAUGUUUGGUACUGUGCUGCUGAGCUCAGGGAUAACACAAGAGGCCUUGCAUUGUUUAUCCUGUUUAGUAUGAAACAGAUGUUUGCGGAAUUGGAAAUACAAGAUUUUUUCUGAGUAGUUCUUCCAAAUGCAAGGCUUUUUCUUUGCCUCUGUUUUUCCUUUGCAAAAACAUCUAGAUGUCUGAUGGACUUAAGCAAAUUGUGUCAUUCAGGACAUAUUUACUUUAGAGAAAGUGCAAUAAGAAUGCGGUGUAUUUAACCUAAAUGUGAAGAUUAA